GCGGUCGGGCUGAUCAUUCGGCUUCCAUCGGUCCAAAAAGUGCCUCGGAGCACACCGAAGUGACGCCGAUUUGAGCGUACAUUAUGCGCGUGCGCGAGACGUAAUACGGCAGGCGGCGCUAAUCUGUAUCUAUCUUUAAAUUUCUGUUG